AUGCUCCAUUUUUAUGUUCAUAUUAUUAGCGACACUUUUUUGGGGGGCGAAGAGAGUAGGAUACGACCGACCAAAUUCAGAGUUUCGAAUGGGGCUGGAAAGAGAGACUUUCGGGUGUGGAAACAGCGCCUGAAAAGGGGAGGCGGAAUUGCGGACCUCCCCUCUGAUUUCAAGGAGAAGGCGCCCACCGGCACCGCACCGCACCGCACCGGUUCCUCUCUGCGGCAGCAAACUCCUCCCAUCCAUCCCUCGUCCAUCCUGGCUCAGGUUCGCACCGCCUCCACCCUCUCAUCACCUCCUACCUACGCUUCGUCAUUUUUGACUAUAUUUACUCCCCGGCGUGCGCCCAUCGACCAAGGUAGCUGGGGUGAUUCCGGUGUUGCUUUCCUCUCAUGGCAGGCGCGAGAGGGUGGAGAUGAGGAGGAAGGCGCUCGCACGGGGCUUCUCCGCCGACGGCGUCCUCCGCCGCAGCCGCCCGCUCCCAGCGCGCCGCCGGCCACCGAAGGGGACAAUAAUAGCACGAGCAAGGAAAAAAAGAAGGGCGAGAUCACCAAGACCAUCCGAGACAGGCUAUCAUCGUCUUUCUCUUCCCCCAGAAGCCGCCUCUCCUGCUGGACGAGCCAUCCGAUCCGGCGGAGCAGGAGGGGGAGCGGCACGGCCAGCGACGAACAUGGCACGCCGGUGACGGCCAAGGCAAUCAGGCCCCCCUCAAGGAAGGUGGUCGCGGCAGGGACCAGAUCCCUGAUCGAACGCAACGAUUUCUACAGCCAAGAAUGCAACACGCACAAGUAG
rnacentral:rRNA from 1 species